AAUCCAUGAUGAGGACAUUCUCGAAUAUAUUGCUUGAACCGCUCCCAAGCUUCACUCAAUGUUUCAUAUUCAUCUUGAGAGAAGUUAGAAAAUUCCGCAUUUUCUCGGGU